GAUGAACGCUGGCGGCGUGCCUAAUACAUGCAAGUAGAACGCUGAAGGAGGAGCUUGCUCUUCUGGAUGAGUUGCGAACGGGUGAGUAACGCGUAGGUAACCUGCCUGGUAGCGGGGGAUAACUAUUGGAAACGAUAGCUAAUACCGCAUGACAACAGUUAUUGCAUGAUAACUGUUUAAAAGGGGCAACUGCUCCACUACCAGAUGGAGCUGCGUUGUAUUAGCUAGUUGGUGAGGUAACGGCUCACCAAGGCGACGAUACAUACCCGACCGGAGAGGGGGAGCGGCCACACUGGGACUGAGACACGGCCCAGAGUCCUACGGGAGGCAGCAGGAGGGAAUCGUCGGCAAUGGACGGAAGUCUGACCGCGCAACGCCGCGUGAGGGAAGAAGGUUUUCGGAUCGUAAAGCUCUGUUGUAAGAGAAGAACGAGUGUGAGAGUGGAAAGUUCACACUGUGACGGUAACUUACCAGAAAGGGACGGCUAACUACGUG
rnacentral:rRNA from 1 species